UCCCCUCUAUGACUCUGACGAUACGAUACACUGACAUAUUUAAAAAAUUUAACAGUUUUUUUUUUAAGAAUUUGAUCUAAGAUAUUGUAUUAAAUACAAUUUAUCUGUGUUGAGGUGGUUAAAGUUGUAACAAAUUUCAAUUGCUUUCAAGUUUUAACUGCAAAUCCGGGAAAUCGCUCAGAAAGCAGUUGGCGACUCUGGAGAGCACCGGUGCAAUUUGCAUAGAUCACUUUCUUCUGGUGCAAUGUGUAGAGAGAUGUGACAUGUGAGGUGAAAUUUGCACAUUAGAUUUAAUUUCACGUGGUAUCUUCAGUACCAUGAUGUAUAGUAAUAGACCUAUAAAGUUUUUAUUAAGACCAAUUGAUAAACCAACUUGUAACAUUUAAGCUAGUGAUUGCACAUAUCCAUUUUGGGUUAAAAUUUUUUUGCAUCUUGAACUCUUGAAACUAUGAAUUGGUGAAAAGUUAAUGUUUUACAAUACCAAGUGGUACUAUUAUUCAUUAUUCAUGGGGAACAAUGAUGUUUUUGUUAUUCUCUCAAUAAGACAAAAAGAGUUAAAGACUAGUAGAGCUAAAAUUAGCAUCAGAUUUAAAAUUUAUCUUUCUGAAAACGAAAAAGCUAUCUUGUGCCAUACUGAGUUCUGUUUGGAGGCAGUUGGUACCCUAUGUUCACUUGCUGGACAUAGUGUGCUAAAGAGAGAUGGAGGAACUGCUGUAAACAUAGCAGAUCUCAUGGAGCAAAUAUGUAGUUUCUGUUACAAAGCUGUAAUAGAAAAAUGUAGUGGGACAAUUUGUCAGGCUUUAGAGAAGCAUCAUCCUUUGCUAUAUCUCCACUUCAUGUAAAUGGAAACAUCUCUGGAACUUCAUGUUGACCUGGGAAAUUUAGCCCCUGUGCCCAUUGCAUCAAUGAAAGGCAGAAUUUUACAACCUAUAGGCCAAUUUUACAACUCACUUAUGGUGAUUGUUCCUUCAAAUGCAAUUAUAAUGUAUGUUGGUAUUGUUUAUCAACAUUCAACUGGCAUAACAGCAUGUUCUGGAAAUAAUAAUAGGAUACAUUAGUUAUAGGUUGGUGAAUAAGAUAACCCUUCAGCGCCUCUAUUUUUGCUGUGUGAUAGCUCGGAGUCGAAACUACUAAUAUCCUUGUACAAUAAGUUCAAAAAGGUUUUAAAGGAAAACACUUCAAGUUGAUUUAUCUGCGUGAUAUAGCGGUUUUUUCCUGCGGAUCCUGAAAUUUGUAACAAUUUUUAUCGGCGGACAAUAUGUCUUUUAGCACUUUCAGAAGCAGUAGGUUCCAACACUACCCAACGUCUGCAAUAGUAAUGGCAGGGAUGUUAAUGAAAGUUUCUGAAACAAAACCAGUUAAGCAGGUGCCAGAAAUCAUGAUUGGUGGUGGUGGUGAUUGGGCACCUAUUUAGGCUUACAGCUGCCUUUUUUUUUUUUUUUUUUUUUUAUCCGCCAAGGAUUUAUGCAUCUAUUAUGGAGACGGAGAAGAAUACGUAAGAUGCAAUCUUCUGCAUUGCUCUGCAUUCCUGAUCAAUAAGCAGUUACAAACAUUGCUCUACACUGAUAAGCAUCAGAGACAAAGGUCAGGCUGAAUUAGGUAUUUUGAAAAUCCAACUGAAAUUGUGUUGUGGCAGUAUGAUUAUUCCAGAACUAAUUAUUUCUCAGUUCACCGGCUUUGUGUUGUGCCUUUACUGUUCAGGGCCAAAGCUAUUCGUCUCGUAGAACUCCCAUUUUUAUAUGGUCUGUUGCUAAGGGACGAGAUGUCUUUUUGUUGACAAAGAUUAGGCCAUUGCUACACGUUACUAAUUACGAGAUCACAAAAACGAGGCGAUGACGGGGCAACCAUGAAGCGACGGGUAAUGCGAAGACGGAGAGACGGGCGAUACUUGGGCGUUAGCUGAAAUGCCAUUCGGCAACAGGCUACUUUGCUGAGGCUUCAUUUGACUACUACCACGUAAAAUACUACAUCACGAAUGCUGCCUAGUACCACACUACCGCCUUGUACUACACCCAGCUCCGGAAUACUACCCCUAUAGAAGAUGGAAUACCAUAAUACAACCCGAGGUACUACACAUAGAGCACAAGUUUGUACAACGAAUGCAUAGGGAUAUUGUUAUAUGCACAGCCUGCAUAUAACAACUCGAUACUUGGGAGUUGAUCAAGGUCAUGAUGUAGCAUAAUCGUUAACCCAAUAUCUUCGUACUUUUGUGUGUAUUUCAUUAUUAUAUUUUUCAUGUUUGAAAUUCAUACGGUAGCGUUUCAUGGUAAAGCCAAAGAGAAUACCAGGAGUAGUUACAGCUGCAGAAUCAAUUGAAUUACCACGUGUUACGUUUCAGAGAUGGCGCUGCGGCUAUUAG